rnacentral:rRNA from 1 species
AUUGAACGCUGGCGGCAUGCCUUACACAUGCAAGUCGAACGGUAGAGUAGCAAUACUCGAGAGUGGCGAACGGGUGAGUAAUAUAUCGGAACGUGCCCAGUCGUGGGGGAUAACGUAGAGAAAUUUACGCUAAUACCGCAUACGAUCUACGGAUGAAAGCGGGGGACUCGCAAGAGCCUCGCGCGAUUGGAGCGGCUGAUAUCAGAUUAGGUUGUUGGUGAGGUAAAAGCUCACCAAGCCGACGAUCUGUAGCUGGUUUGAGAGAACGACCAGCCACACUGGGACUGAGACACGGCCCAGACUCCUACGGGAGGCAGCAGUGGGGAAUUUUGGACAAUGGGCGAAAGCCUGAUCCAGCAAUGCCGCGUGUGGGAAGAAGGCCUUCGGGUUGUAAACCACUUUUGUACGGAACGAAACGCCUCGCUUUAAUACAGUGGGGUAAUGACGGUACCGUAAGAAUAAGCACCGGCUAACUACGUGCCAGCAGCCGCGGUAAUACGUAGGGUGCGAGCGUUAAUCGGAAUUACUGGGCGUAAAGCGUGCGCAGGCGGUUAUAUAAGACAGUUGUGAAAUCCCCGGGCUCAACCUGGGAAUUGCAUCUGUGACUGUAUAGCUAGAGUACGGUAGAGGGGGAUGGAAUUCCGCGUGUAGCAGUGAAAUGCGUAGAUAUGCGGAGGA